UCUAUUUUGGCAGAUUAAUUGUAUCAAAUUUAGAAUUUGAGGAUGAGUUUAUCAAAUAGG
rnacentral:tRNA from 1 species